CCUACGGGCGGCAGCAGUGGGGAAUAUUGGACAAUGGGGGCAACCCUGAUCCAGCCAUGCCGCGUGUAUGAAGAAGGCCCUCGGGUUGUAAAGCACUUUCAGUGAGGAAGAACGCCUGGUGGUUAAUACCCAUCAGGAAAGACAUCACUCACAGAAGAAGCACCGGCUAACUCCGUGCCAGCAGCCGCGGUAAUACGGAGGGUGCGAGCGUUAAUCGGAAUUACUGGGCGUAAAGCGCGCGUAGGUGGCUUGAUAAGCCGGUUGUGAAAGCCCCGGGCUCAACCUGGGAACGGCAUCCGGAACUGUCAAGCUAGAGUGCAGGAGAGGAAGGUAGAAUUCCCGGUGUAGCGGUGAAAUGCGUAGAGAUCGGGAGGAAUACCAGUGGCGAAGGCGGCCUUCUGGACUGACACUGACACUGAGGUGCGAAAGCGUGGGUAGCAAACAGGAUUAGAUACCCCUGUAGUC
rnacentral:rRNA from 1 species